GUCAGCCGAAAAGAUAAAUUUGUCCACCUUUACCAGUACAUCUUCAACAAUUCCCCAUGGAUAUGUGAUGGAUCUGUCAACUAGCUGCAAUGAAAUGUUUGUUGGCCUUGAAGCCGGCAAUCCCAACUGAUUAAACACUGGCAAAGGCAUCAGAUUGAUACUUGCCCCAAGAUCACACAAACAUUUAUCAAAAUUCAUCUUUCCGAUCGUACAUAGAAUUGUGAAACUGCCCGG
rnacentral:lncRNA from 1 species